UGCUUGAAUAUAAUUUACAAAAAAGCAGCUUACCAACUGGUUCUGUGCAGACCAAGUCACAACUGUUCUGAGAGCAACAUUUGCUGUUUCCCGGACAUUCCAGAUCGCUAACGCAUGCUUUAGUGCAAGUCCGUACAUCCUGCGGUGAAGCCGGCGAGAGGCCUACUACGUCGCCGGCAUGCUGGAAAGGGCACUGGCCGGGUUUCGUGGUCGCCACUGGGAUGGCCGGGACGCACGUGUAUCCACACCCGGCAAAACAGCACUUGGCAUCACCCUGGCACUGUGAAUCCCCGUGGCAUUCAAUGGCACAACCUUCGUGGGGCAUCGCGAAAUAUGGUGGGCAGAAACCGGCCUUAUCGGAUGUGACAUUACCGGGCGGUACGAUAUGAACGAUUUCUGUAAUUGUUACAAAACCUCUGUAAGAAUCUAUGCUGCUCAUGCACGUUGAAGAUUAAGGACUUACUCGAUCCAUCAGCGCUUGAUUUCGUUCCGGGAGCCAUCAGGGGAGGAGGUAUUUUGAGUUUAGCAAAGUUCGAAAUCAAUUCUGCAUGCUCCGCAUGGACUGACUUUACACUGAGCUUUCGGAUUUCCCAGACAAAUUUGGUGAUGGCACAUCUGAGGAUCACAGAACUGUACUGGCUCGUUCUCUGAGCAAAUUUCCGCGGAGACAUUGGAAGCUAUCACGUCUAAAAAGCGGAUAGCCCCGUACGGCUGUGGACAUGUCGGCCUUUCCAUCAUGAUCCACACACCAACACAAUCCCAGCGCUGGCUGACAUUGUACCGGCAACCAUGAACCAUCGUACUCGUCACAAUCCGGGAUAAACACCGGGACACGACUGACUGUCUGUCGUUCAACUGCGGUCAGCCGUUCAUUUUCACACGUGGACAUUACUACAACAAAUAAUAUUAUAGUACGAGUUGUAUAAUGACAAAUUAUUGUAAGUAAUGUAAUGUUGUACUUAUUAUUAGGAUGAAAAAUAUUAAUUUUAUAUGGCACUCGCCAGAUAUGUAUGAGUAUCUUGGUACUCUUAUGCGUUGCGACAGUACAAAAUUAAUACAAUUGUAUAAAUGCGAGUGCAGAUAAGGCACCACCCAAUUACCUGGGCACAAGUCACGACACUGAGUUUCGGAUGCAAAAUUAUUUCCAUUGGCGUCACAACCGGAAUACGUAAACUGUAGGCAAUUCUUGCUUUUUUGAUCGAAGUAAUAACGCAGAAUGGACGAAGUACAUGUUCCGCGGACGACAGGUAAGAAACAUUCAUCCGCUAGAAUGAAAACAUGACGCUUUUACGCUCACAUUAUGUUAACGCAAUACGGUCACCGAAAGUUUCUUACAUGUUUUCGGGCAACACAUAGUGGUUCCGGAAUGGUUCGUGCACACAUGACUAAGAGGGCAUCCAGCGUUUCCACCACACAACUCCGUCGAACUGUCAGAGAGCGAUACAGCGGUCGGAGCCAGCGGUUUUCCCACCAGACAGAAAUCCGUAUCCAUUCGUUCUUCCGCUGGUGCGUGGGUGUGAGAGAGCUGUUUCUUGGUAUGACCGGUGGCGGUUGGAGAAUCGGUGACGGUGUCCGUUGUGCCGACACUGCAGAUCUUCUCGCACUCCUCCGUCGUGGCAAAGUUGUUACCGUUGCUCUGACAGCCGCCAUACAAAAAUGUUUUACAUGCCCGUUGGACAGGAUCGUAGCCCCAGCGCGGAAUGGUGCCGCGGCAUG